rnacentral:lncRNA from 1 species
GAGAACAACAAGAGGUCAGGCCUCAGGGUGUCUGGGACCUGGCCCCAGGCCUGGUCAUCACUACAGUGUGAUCUUUGUUUGACAGGUUACUUCUCUUCCCCAUUCUUCAGUUGCCACAUCUAAAACAUCAAGAGGAGAGAAAAACCUACCAACCUAUACAAAGCAAUGUAUGUUGUAGCUAAAAACUAGAAAUGGCUCAAGUUACCUGGUAAUGGGGAAAAUGCAGCAGACUGGGAGAAAGAAGGUACAGCCACACUUUUCCAUCACGGAGGAGACUAGAAAUGAGAUCACAGGGGUCUCCUGCUUCAAGGUUUUCAGCUACUUCAUGUUGCCUACGGCACUGGCGGGCAACCUUGGCUGCAAUUUGGAAUCAUCUGAGCAACUUUGAAAACUACUGGUGUGGGGGAGCGCUCUCGGAGAUUCUGACUUAAUUGAUGUGGGUAUAGCUUUAGCAUUGGAGGGAAAACUGCCGGCCUUCAGGAUAAAGGCCUGACUCAUGCACUUCGCACACAUGGCCCUUCUUGACUCCAGUGAACUCUUACGUCCUUUUUACCCAUUUUUUUCCCACACCGGUUACAACAUCCCUAACACGUUACACCCUGCUAUUCACAAUCCU